UAACGCGUGGGUAACCUGCCUCAUACAGGGGGAUAACAGUUAGAGAUGACUGCUAAUACCGCAUAAGCGCACAGUGCUGCAUGGCACAGUGUGAAAAACUCCGGUGGUAUGAGAUGGACCCGCGUCUGAUUAGCUAGUUGGUGGGGUAACGGCCUACCAAGGCGACGAUCAGUAGCCGGCCUGAGAGGGUGAACGGCCACAUUGGGACUGAGACACGGCCCAA
rnacentral:rRNA from 1 species